rnacentral:lncRNA from 1 species
GGAAGCUAGAGGCAGGUGGUCUUUGUUGAUUCCCAGAAAAAGACCGCGUUUCCUCCCGGUAAAGCACGGUCUUUAAGAAUUGAUCCAACUGGACUUGUCAGUCACCUAGCCAGGAGACCGCCUCUUAGCAAAGCUGAUAUGCCUGAAGACUGCUAAGGUAAUGAUCCUAAGCACGCUUGCCCUGACAUUCUGAACACUCACUCCCAGACAUUCGGAACUCCUUCCAUACAGCUGCUUGCAGACUUCCCAUUGCUGCGCCUGUUUUGACCCUACUUCAAAGGACACGAGGUAGGGUCUUCCUCUUCCUCUACCAUCAGCCACAGAGAUUUACAUCUUGCCUGCCCAGUUUUCUCUCAAACUCCAAAAACAAGGUCUUUAAGCUUUGACAUUUUUUUUUUAAAUCAACGAGACUACGAAUCCUCAAAAGGGUGCCGAGAUUCCCUGGUACCAGGAGAGCGAGUUGUAGCCCUGCUCCAGGGUGGUGUAGGAAGCAAGGAGUUGGGGGGAGCGCGGGACUAAAUCCAUCCUGGCACUAGGAGAAAGGCACCGCGGCUGCUACAAGCGCGGAGCAUCCGGAGGAGGAAGAGAAAUAGGAUGCAGAUUCCACUUCUCACUCUAUCCCUGGGUUUAAGGAGGCUGGCAGGCGGCCAACCAGUGGCGACGAGACCCGGCUUGGGGACGUCUCAGGCCUUUACCCGGGAUUUGCACCUUAAGAGAGAGCGGGAAAAUGGAAUACGAAGGGAGGUUUGUAUCUGGGACUUAUCUGCAUUCACCCUUGCGAUGCUGGGGUGAAGAAGGGACUGGUCUCGGAAAGUGGGAGCAGGUGGUCAGGUCGUAGGAAUGGGAGGCUGCCAUCCCUCUCCUAAGAGCGUAGCCACCGUCGCCUUUCCUUCUGCCUCGCUCACCAGACCUACCUCAGUGACCGCGGUCCUGCUGCCCGUUCGCCGCCCUCCAGUCCCAGGUCCCCGCACCUGCGCACUCUCGCUCUCGGCAGUGGGCUUGGCUUGACUCCUUAAAGGCGCAACGCACUCGCUCGCGCCCUCCGACAGAAAAACCCUCCCAGCCCGCAUCAGGCGUCGUCUCAGCAGCUGGAAUUUGUUUGGAGGACGCUCUCCAGGGGACGCUCCCCAUCCCCGGUUCAAAAAAUAUCAAACCCGGAGAUACAGUCAGUAUCCCUCCCCGGAGCGCCUCUCCGC